rnacentral:rRNA from 1 species
GACGAACGCUGGCGGCGUGCUUAACACAUGCAAGUCGAACGGUGAAGCGCCUUCCUUUUUGGUGGGUGUGGAUGAGUGGCGAACGGGUGAGUAACACGUGAGUAACCUGCCCCCUUCUUCUGGAUAACCGCAUGAAAGUGUGGCUAAUACGGGAUAUUCUGGGUCUGUCGCAUGAUGGGUCUGGGAAAGAUAUUGUUUCGGUGGGGGAUGGGCUCGCGGCCUAUCAGCUUGUUGGUGGGGUGAUGGCCUACCAAGGCGGUGACGGGUAGCCGGCCUGAGAGGGUGGACGGUCACACUGGGACGGAGACACGGCCCAGACUCCUACGGGAGGCAGCAGGGGGGAAUAGUGCACAAUGGGCGCAAGCCUGAUGCAGCGACGCCGCGUGAGGGAUGGAGGCCUUCGGGUUGUGAACCUCUUUCGCCAGUGAAGCAGGCCUGCCUCGUUUGUGGGUGGGUUGACGGUAGCUGGAGAAGAAGCGCCGGCUAACUACGUG